GAUUCCUAUUCACCAGUUUUUCCGAUAUAACCUUACAUCAGUUUAUUAUAAUAUAAUAUUCAAUAAUCCCUCAUUUUUUUAUGUUCCUGAUUUGCAAGUCGUGUUUGAAUUUAUUGGUCAACAUAUAUCGGUAGUCUUUGACAAGCAAAUACCAGAGGAAUUUUACGUUGUACUAAAGUUUGUUUAAGAAGCCAGGGGAUAUUAAUUUUAAUGUUUUAAAUUGAUUGUUAGAUAUCAUGUCUAUUGACAAAGAUUGUUAUGACUUCCUAGACUUAAUUCUCGAUAAUAAUAGUUAGUUUAUUUAUUUAAAGUGGAUUGAGAAACAAGUUAUUGCAAAUUAUAUUAUUCUCCUUCCGACGGACUAUCAUCGUUUCUCAAGAAGAUACUCGAAAAUGGUAUCGAUAGAGAGCCGAAAAUUCAUUUCUCCCCGGAACGUGGAUCGAACCAGGAACCUUUGUGUUAGUAGUCCGAAAAGCCUACCACUACAUUACGGCUCUCAACAUGGAGUUUAAAAUGUGAAAUCAAUGCAAAUAUCUAUUUGUGAAUCUAUAAAUAAUUCAAGCAGGAUAAGAUGCAGAGG
rnacentral:lncRNA from 1 species